UACGUAGGGUGCAAGCGUUGUUCGGAAUUACUGGGCGUAAAGGGCUCGUAGGCGGUCUGUCGCGUCGGGAGUGAAAACUCAGGGCUUAACCCUGAGCCUGCUUCCGAUACGGGCAGACUAGAGGUAUGCAGGGGAGAACGGAAUUCCUGGUGUAGCGGUGAAAUGCGCAGAUAUCAGGAGGAACACCGGUGGCGAAGGCGGUUCUCUGGGCAUUACCUGACGCUGAGGAGCGAAAGUGUGGGGAGCGAACAGG
rnacentral:rRNA from 1 species